CUCUUUCUGAUAAUUCAAAACAACCGUCAGCACCCUCUUGAUCCUCAAUAUCAUGACUUUCCCCCAAGAAAAAAGAAAAGAACAAGAACAACGAAGGCUUUUUUUCUUUUCUUUUUCUUUUUCUCUCUUGAGACCUAAUUAAAUGCUUGAAAUAGAUUAAUUCUAAAAUAGUCGUUUAAACUUAUGCAUAUAUAAUCUACAGAGCUAGGCUAAUAAUACAAAGAAAAAGAAGAAGUGAGACCGUGGCCUCCAAGAAAUAGGAGAUCAGAUGGGCUACCGCCUUCAGAAGGCAGAGUGCCAUUGCCCACUGUGCGGUGAAGGGUUGCUCUCAAUCACACAACCCUUGCGUCAUACAGUUCGGACAUGAAUUAGAAGCUCUGUUACUCUGUGUAUAGCCGUUAUUUCUACCACUUGCUACUUGGGUUUUACACCCACCUAAGCAACAACUAAAAAUGUCAAACAAACGAACAAACCAACAAGACCCACUUUCAAAGCAUAAGAUUUUGAAUGGAAGUCGAAAGCAGGGAGAAUUAAUUUUUCACUUGAAGGUGAGGAAGUUGAAGAUGAGGCAGAAGGCUGGGAUUUAAUUAUUAUAUAGCAGCAGGGAUAAGGGCCGAGUGAGGGAGAGGCGAACGAGAGGGGAUGUCAGCCUCAUCCAAUUUGUAUAUGGUAUCAUCAUAUCUUAAAUAGAUAAUGAUCUUUAUACCACAGAACAUAUGACUUUUUUAACUGAAUACAUUUCAAACAAAAGUAUGGUGACAAGUAUAUUUAUUAAGAAGACAAUUACUGACCAUUUUAUUAAAGAGUAAAAAGGCAUCUAAGUACUUGAAGGAUCACGAUUGUAUCUAAUCUCUCUAUUCACAUAUUCUCACAGAAACCAUCUUUCUUCUAUCAUCUCUCAUCUUUUCACCUUUUCACCUUUUCAUUAUUUUCCCAUUCUUCUAAAUUUCUCUCAUACAUAUAUGUGUGCGCGCGCGUGUGUGUGUGUGUGUCAAAGGCAUAUAUUUUCUUAUUUAAGGGGCUGCUGGAAUUAUGAAGCUAGUCAGUACUCUUACAGGUAUUGGAAAUAAUUAAAAGCCACAGAGCAAGCAGAAAGUUAAUGAAGCCCUUGGAUUGGAUUGCUAUUGCAUAUUAAACUCCCAUUGCAGUAGCUACUGCUAUUCCUUAAAUCUACUCAAUUGGUCAAGAUAGUUUUUCAGAUGUUUCUAAAGAUAUUUAUAUAUAUAAUACUGUUGACUUAAGAUUUUACUCCGAGCGGAGAACCGACACGCAGUUAAACAAAAAGGUUUUCUUUCUGCAUUAAUAUUUAUAAACUGAAACCUUUACACACUACAAAAGAGAAGUUCACGCAAUUUUGUCACAAAAUCCAUAAGUACGUCAUCACAAAAAUAUGUAGAGAAAUUGGAUUAUUAAUUUUCAAAAGAGAUCAUCUGAAUUUUUGCAGCAUCAAGAUCAGAACCAAACUUGAUAACAGAUACACAAUAAGGCAAGUGGUGAAGAAAUAGAGGGAGGACACUCAGAAAAGGCAAAUUUAAGUUCCAUGAGCUCUAGAUGCUUUACCGAAAAAGUAACAGAGAUAUUACAUAUUUAUAUAAUAGGAAAGAUGACACAGAAAAAGAAGAUUCCCACUAUAAACAUGCUCUUUACGAGUUAAGGGACAUACAAGUACAUGAAGAUAUGGCAAUCGUAAGGUUCCCUUGGGCAUCCCAACUAACCCAAAAUGGGAUUUUGGCAGGAUCAGGCACCAGACUCCACCAUGUUCCUGCUUUAUUUUCAAAAUAUCUCAGAUGGAUUAUCUAUAUUCUUAUUUAUCGGGCCCCCCACUCUCUAUACUCUUCUCCUAUAUUUUAUCUACAUAUUAAAUUCUUAGAUUUGAUUGUAGCUCAUCGAAUAUGUCUUUUAUCUGUCAUCUUUGAAGAAUUAAGGAGUCCUUGUUUAGCAAAUGCAGAGAGAGCUCUUGAUGAGCUUAAAUUCUUUGCCCAGUGCACUCUUGAUUGUUUGACAACAUCAAGAGGAAAACAAUUGUUUGAGAACACCAAGCUAAAUUGUUUCUUUUUCUUUGUCCUGUUUUCAUGACAUGAAGCCUUAUAAAUUGUUUAUAUUGAAAAAUGGUUAACUCUUCCAUAUUCUUGUCCACAUAAACCUUAAAGGCAGACACAAGUACGCCUUCAGAACCUUUGACAGGGCCCACUAUACUAAAGAUGAUUCAAAAUGAAAAUAUCAUAUUUACAAAAAUAAGCUUUACAGGAACAAGGAACCUUACAUUCUAUUGAUCAAACACCAUUUAUUCUAACUGAUUACAUUCUCAAGAGGAAAACAAUCAGAAAAGAGAAGAGUCCAAAAAAUAAUUGAAAAAAUGUUUGGGAUUGGAAGGCAUGAUCGGGCAAGAACCAAAACACUUUCAAGUUUGUUGGAUGCAUGCAAGUUUAUUUGCCACAGAGCUUCCAUUAUGGAGCAGGCUUUUCUCAAUAUCUUAGGCCAUGCAAAAGGGACAUAACAUGUUAAUACAAGUUGGGCAAAAAGCAUGUGGUUCUUAUAAAUGUGAUAUGUGAAUAAUGUGCUACUAACACCUAGAAUAUUUUCGUAUUUAUGAUAUAAAAACAUUUAUGAAUGAAAUAUUUCAUUAAUUAAUGAAACUACAGGAUUUUCAUGAUGUUUAAAAGUAAUAGUACAAUAGGAUCCAACCAACAUAAACAAGUGGCUAACCUGUUAUGAAUCUCUCACAAAACCCUGGAGCUCUUACAAGUGUUUCAAGAUGUUUUCUCCAUCAGUUUUAUCGGGUGUCAGAAUGUUUGACUUGCUUGUCCCUGCCAUACACCCAUCCAUGACCUUUUCCUGCACUAUAAAAUGGGCUUCUCCAAACGGAACAUGAUGUCCAGCUCACACUACAUAGUAACUAAUUAAACAAGAAACUACAUCAACUUUCUUUAAAUUGCAAAACAAUAGGGACCCGAAUGAAAACAAAAUGAAC
rnacentral:lncRNA from 1 species